CCUACGGGGGGCUGCAGUCGAGGAUCUUCGGCAAUGGGCGCAAGCCUGACCGAGCGAGGCCGCGUGGGCGAUGAAGGCCUUCGGGUUGUAAAGCCCUGUCGAGGGGGAGAAAAGCCGCAAGGCGUGAUCUAUCCCUGGAGGAAGCACGGGCUAAGUUCGUGCCAGCAGCCGCGGUAAGACGAACCGUGCGAACGUUGUUCGGAAUCACUGGGCUUAAAGGGCGCGUAGGCGGGCUAUCAAGUCCGGGGUGAAAUCCUCCAGCUCAACUGGAGAACGGCCUCGGAUACUGAUGGUCUCGAGGAGGAUAGGGGCACACGGAACUGUGGGUGGAGCGGUGAAAUGCGUUGAUAUCCAUAGGAACUCCGGUGGCGAAAGCGGUGUGCUGGAUCCUUUCUGACGCUGAGGCGCGAAAGCCAGGGGAGCAAACGGGAUUAGAUACCCUGGUAGUC
rnacentral:rRNA from 1 species